UGGGGAAUCUUGCGCAAUGCGCGACAGCGUGACGCAGCAACGCCGCGUGGGGGAAGACGGCCUUCGGGUUGUAAACCUCUUUCAGUUGGGACGAAGUGCGGCCGGUGAACAGCCGGUCCGCAUGACGGUACCUUCAGAAGAAGCCCCGGCUAACUACGUGCCAGCAGCCGCGGUAAUACGUAGGGGGCAAGCGUUGUCCGGAAUCAUUGGGCGUAAAGAGCGUGUAGGCGGUCCGGUAAGUCCGCUGUAAAAGUCCAGGGCUCAACCCUGGAAUGCCGGUGGAUACUGUCGGGCUAGAGUCCGGAAGAGGCGAGUGGAAUUCCUGGUGUAGCGGUGAAAUGCGCAGAUAUCAGGAGGAACACCGAUGGCGAAGGCAGCUCGCUGGGACGGUACUGACGCUGAGACGCGAAAGCGUGGGGAGCAAACAGG
rnacentral:rRNA from 1 species